rnacentral:lncRNA from 1 species
GUUUGAGGUUCGGUCCGCUUAACUAGUUUUUAUCGAAAUUACAGGCUUUGGACUUUGAUAAUUGUUGAAAAUCACACUUAUACAGACUUUUUUUCAAAACGCUUUCAGAUAUUGGACUGAUUUUGUUUUGGUAUGUGAGUUAACCAUGAUGAGUUACAGAUCAAGUUUGAGUUCCGUUCCGCUUCACUAUUUUUUGUCAAAAUUACGGGCUUUGGACUUUUAAAAAUUGUUGAAAAUCUGAGUUAUAUGGUUUGUUUUAAGGCCAUAAGAUUUUGAGCAGAUUUAGUAUAUGUGAGACUACUAUCUUGUGUGUGUCCGCAUGUGUUCUUGAAUUGCAGAUUUUUCAAAAUUUUGGAACAGGGCCAUUCGUGUCGUUUUGACACAUCUAGUCUUAUUCAAUUCUUUUUAAUUUUUUAAUUUUUAAUUUUUAUUUAUUCAUUUAUUUUUG